rnacentral:misc_RNA from 1 species
CCGACGGCUAGUCACCUAAAUUCCACCAGCCAUGUUUCCCAUAAUCGCCCUUGUCUUCUCUUCACAUUUUCCCAUUUGGCGUCUUUCCAAGGGUUGGAGGUCUUGGAGAAACAUGGUCCAUAAAAGUGACACGUGAACCCAUCACUGUGAAACAAUGUUUUUAUUUGAGCAUAUGCCAAGGAGAGAUGAAUUAUGAAGGGGAAAUGUUGAAACUUGAAAGAAACCUCACGUUCUCACAUGGACCAAACAGGUCAAUUGACCCACCUCCAUCAAACACAACAUCAAACAACCUUUUAUUUUUUUUUUCUUUGGUUACCAAAACAAGACAUGGGAAUUUUUGGACCUAAUUUUUAUAUCGUUGCUAAUGAUAUCCAAGCCUUUGCAUUCGCAUGGUGGUUGAGCUAUCCACCUUUCCUGGAACUACUCACCAUAAAUUCAAGACUAUCAUUCCAGCUUUCUUGCAGUUCAUAUAAAUUAUAAUGAACUUUGUAGUGGUACAACUACAGCUUCCCCAUUGUUGAGGUUAUCUUGAGCUAUUUUUAGGCGUGUAGGAUUUUGCUUUCAAUUUAAUUAGGCGUGUAGUUGAGCCUUUUAUAGACUCUCUUUUAUAAAUUAACAAUGCCCUUCUCAUUUUUCCAAGCGAGCAAUCCAAAACAAUACUCAGAGAGCUCAUCUACACCAAUUAAUGGAUAGUAUAGAGAUGGAUAAUGAGCGAUUGACGGCGGAGAUGGCUUUCAAAGACUCCUUCUCCGCCGUCAUUAAAAUCCGUCAGCGUUUGCCUGAUUUCUUACGGUCCGUCAAGCUCAAAUACGUAAAGUUAGGUUAUGGUUACUCAUGUAACCCUGCCACCAUACUCAUGUUUCUCAUAAUUUUCCCUUUGUCCAUAGCUACGCUCGUUCAAAUCACUGGUCUU